UACGUAGGGGGCUAGCGUUGUCCGGAAUCAUUGGGCGUAAAGAGCGUGUAGGCGGUCCGGUAAGUCCGUUGUGAAAGUCAAGGGCUCAACCCUUGAAUGCCGGCGGAUACUGUCGGGCUAGAGUCCGGAAGAGGCGAGUGGAAUUCCCGGUGUAGCGGUGAAAUGCGCAGAUAUCAGGAAGAACACCCGUGGCGAAGGCGGCUCUCUGGGACGGUACUGACGCUGAGACGCGAAAGCGUGGGGAGCGAACAGG
rnacentral:rRNA from 1 species